CCCAUUUCUGCUCUAAGAUCAUUGAUGCUCUGCUCCAACUCACUUAUUCUUUCUCCCAUCUCAUCAAGUACAUUGAUGUUAAGUUUGACCAGAAAAAAGAAACACAGGGCCAGCAUUCAACUCAUUCCUACCAUUCGUGCUUUUCAACAAGCAAGAACUUAACGCACAUCUGCAAUUCAUUAGAAACCAGUUAUAAGUCUAUGAUAUGGCUGGUUGCGAAGAAGUCAAAUCAGCCAAAAAUUAAUCUACUCCAGUCGUGGCGCCUUCCAAAGACCCCAUAAGACGAUUAUAUGUAAACAAAAAAGUGUGAUGGAUGAGUAGACGGUGGAGGGGAAAACAUUCCAG